rnacentral:rRNA from 1 species
AUGGAGGACUUCUACCGGGAGAUCUACGCCAUCGACAGGGUCCACCACAUCGACUUCCCCCAGCACUACCCCGUCUCCUGCCUCCUUGGUCCGUAUCCAUCAUCUUCCUUGCUAGUUACCGCCACUGCUGUUGUUCCUCUCAGCUUGCUGACGCCAUUGCCGGUUAUUGCUCAGGAUGCGUCGAGGUGGUCGGCUGUGUCAGCAACUGGCUUACCAGUACGCCGCCAAGGGGGCAUGCCUUGCCUUGGUAGCAAGGAGGAGUGGAGCCUGUGGCAGGUCGCCGACCGCGCCUUCGAGCUCGGCGCGCCGAACGUGAUCAUUCUCCCCGGGGACGUCGCAGACCCCGGCGACUACGACAUAUUUGUUCAGGCCACAAUCGACCACUACAGCCAAUGUAAGUCAUCCCCUCUCUGUUACAACUAA